GCGACUCAGCAACAACAGCAGCAAGCAGAGGCUGCAGGGAGAAGAAGCGCCUUUUCUCUGCGCCCUCAGACUUGCUGGGCAGUUGCCCCGAGUUUGUGAACACGCCACACCCUGUCUUCGCCUGUCCAGGAAGGCCGGAAGUGUCACCUUGCUCUCAAGGAACGCAGCUCAUCUGGCCCCCUGACUGGUCUCUCUUCCCUUCGGGUCCAGAUCAUUGUUCCUCGAGAAUUUUCCUUCGCCCCAAGGAACAGAGUGGAAUGGGGGACCCGAGGCCUCCCAGCUCGGCCCACUGUCUGGUCCUCGCCCGAGGCUGGGCUCCAGCCUGAGUUCAGGAAGCCCCACCUCCUCGCUCUGGUGCCUGAGGAGUGACCGAGCGUCUGGGCGGCCGGGCAGCUGUGGCUGAAUCACAUGGUGGAUCCGCAGGGCCCUUCCUGGAGCCCACCCAGCCCCACAGACGAGGACUCAGCCGUGACUCACGGUCCAGGUGGUGCCCGAGCCACCCUGGCUGAUCUCCCUGGCUAUAUGGACGGCUUGAGCCUGUCAGACGGGUAAUGCAGAUGGCAGCUUCUCAGGCAGCUCCUGAGAUGUCGUGAGGGACGACGGACAAGCAGGCAGAGGGGGAGACUUGCCUGCCCUGACCUGGUGUCGUUUCUGUGACCUGGGGGCGUGUGUGUUAGUCUGUCAGUGACAUCUGACUCUUCGUGACCCCGUGGACUGCAGCCCUCCAGGCUCCUCUGUCCAUG